CUGUACAUGCAGCUACUCACCUUUUUGUCUCUCUGAUGCCUUGUGUUGCAUUACUGCAGCUCGAUCCAGGAGGUGCUAGCUCAGGCUGGCUGGAAAGGAUGCAAAAGGGUUGACGGAUCCAUGCCGCACAAGCACUGGUGCUCUGCUUUCUUCUUACUUUGUGUUCUAAUUUGCUUUCUUCUUAUUUUCAGUUUGCGAGAUACAAAAAGAAGUUAAAAAAUGUUGUGCCUGGAGUUCAUAUUAUUUGCUACCCCAUGAUGGAGAAGGUGCCUCAUGGUAAAAGCAUGCCAAGAUUUUCUAAGAACCCCAGACCCAUCCUGGCGCCGCCCAGCCCCCAACCUCCAACCUCCCCGGAUCCUGGCGCCACCCCGCCCCUACCUCCUCCCUGGAUCCCGGCGCCGCAUGCCCCCAUCUUCCCGGAUCCCCGCGACGCCUAGUCCCCAACCUCUCCGGCUCCCGGCGCCGCCAACCGCCAUCCUCUGCCAGCUCCUGUAGCCACCUCCACCUGUUUCCUCCUGCAGGUCGGACGGUGCGAAUCUGGCCGACGUGGUGGGGCUAUGAGACUCGCCAGGGUGGAGCUCCUCCGCCUCUAGCCGUUGAUCCAUAGUUCAUUGUCAGUACAGGUUCUGGAACUGCCUAGUACAUGUUGGGGGACAUUUCUGGAAUCAUGUAUCCUUGCUAGCUUGCAGCUGUAAUUUUGAUUGCAUAGUAGUACAGUUUAGUUGGCUCUGAAGUUUUGAUUCACAACAGUACAAUUUAGUCCCAGCUACCAUGAUUCUGCAAACCAUUGUGCUCUCAAAAGAUGGUGUUUUGUUGCAACAAGUUGUGGAAAAAAUACAGUGAAAUAAUAAAAUGUGCUCCCACAAGUUCAUAUGAUAUAUUGUUGUCAAUUCAAUUUCUUUUAUAUACCUCUACACAUGUUUGUUGAAAUGCUGACAAGGAGCUAGACUUGUUUUUUUGUUCAUAUUUCUUGUUUCUUAAAACAACUGAUGUACUAUUAUCAAAAUGGAAGCCACAAUAAAGAUCUCAUCUCUAAAUUGAUGAUUCAGCCAUGUUUGCUUGUGUGUACUACUGAACUGACAAUGUUACUAAACUUGUGUUCUCACUGAUUCUGAACUGUUGCUGUAGCAUUUGUGAUGCUCGUCUGAUUUUGGUUGGAAGUUUAAUGAAUCCAUACAUAGUUCAACUUUUUGGAAGUUAAAAGUUCAACGAGUGUCUUAGAGAAAACUUGGAAGUUUUCUCUAUAUAAAAAAGAUAACAAAAAUAUAUGUGUUCUGACCUAAGAUGUUCAGGAAAGAGUUCCAGAAUAUCCCCGGUCGCUGCGUCCCCGGGAAGCCAUGUGACAGCCACCACCACUGUGAGUUGCCGGUGCAGUGUCCCACCAGCCCCCAUGUGCCUCCAUCCCUCAAGCUCCCAGAUGCAUCAUCGUGAACCCUUUGUUCCCCAUCGCUGCCUCCUCCAACUCCUUUCAUGGCUCUGGAAAAUCACUUAUCAGGUAUGUUCAGUUCAGACCACACUAAAAUGGCCAAAUUAAAGAUAAAUAUUUGCAUUGUCCUAAAUUCUUCCACUCUCUGGAAACAAAGUCGCAGAAUGCAUGUGAACAGAGUAUACUUCCAUGGUUUUGCAAGUAAUCAUACAAUAAGUGCACUGUUCACUAUGUAUUUUAUCAUCAGUUAAAAAAUAAUCAUAGAAAAAGUUCAAUUUGUGUUAUUGAAACAGCUCAAUUUAUCAGUAUUGUGGAGAUCAUGCAUGAGUAGUAUUUAUGUUCUCAAGAUAUGAGAGAGUGGGAUGUUUGCAUGAUUGUGGCUGGUUGGAGUGUAUGGUCUUUGUGGAGAUCAUGCAUGUUAUUUGCUUAUGACACGAUGUAUAUAUAUACUGCUAGAAGUUCUAGUACCUAUAUUACUACAAUUCGCUAAUAAAAAUGUAUCAGUUCAUUGUCUAGCACAUGGUUAACACAUAUAAUUACAAAAUAGUUACUUGAACUAUACAAGAGUUCAACUUUUACUUGAUUUUCAGUUCAAAUUUUGUGUUAUUUUUAGUACAUCAACUUUAAUGUGCAGAACAUCGAGGAAAUCCUGAAAAAUUAUAUGUACACUCUAUGUAUUUUCUUAUGCUUACAAGAAUUCUGCACUCAUACUGUUAUGCAUCAGUUUAGGUCGCCCGUGGAGUUUUAGAUAUAUGCAAAAUCGUAUUAGAUCACCAUGCUCUCACCCAAAGGUUUGAAAAACCAUUGCUUUCAGUUCUGGUAACAUAUGUUUUUGUUUCAGUUUUGCUAAUUCUUUCUCCAAUGGGCCUUUAUAUAUUAUCUUUCACUUGUCUUACUAUAUGAAAAAUAUGUGGCCUUUAGCGAGCAAUCUGGCUCAGUUUUCUGGUUAAAAAACAGACAACAUGGAUUUACCAUGUUCUAUUAAAAGAAAGCUGGAGUUCAAAUUCUAAUUUUAGUUCAGUGAAGAUCAAUGGGAAAAUGCACAAGAAGUUCAGACUCUUGUUUCCUAAAGUGUUUGUUUUGGUAUGUCUAGCCCAAACAAUCAUCAAUUUUUUUAAAAAAAUUCUCUGUUGUCAAAUAAAAGCUACACUAAUUAUUAUGGACAUGCUCAUUACAAACUUUUGUAAUGGUGCAGUACACCUAUUUAAUUUUUUUAUAUAUUUACAAAACAGAAAUUAUAAUUCUCAGAAACCUACAAAAAAAGCAUCAAUUUAUAUUGAUAGUUGUUCUAGUCCUUAUGUUACAACAGUGCAAUGAAAAAAUCUCAUCAGUUCAACAACAUGGACAUGCUAAUGCUGUAGCGAGUCCAUGCUAAUGCUGUAGUGAUCUCGUGCUCGGCCACAAGGAUGUCGGCUGCAAUGAUGCCAAAGUGACGAGCUAUCUACAUUCUGCCUGGCUGUUGUCCAUCUAUAUCUGUGUCCGUGGUGCGUCGCCAGCGGCAUCAUCCCUGACCAGGGCACCAUGCUGAGGCACUUGCUACUACUAACGCACACUGCAUUUGACGCAUAAAGAUGGAAAAUGCAGGAAGUCGCAUGUUUAUGUGGAGCUAAUGCACACCAUUUUUUUGCUGAAAAUACCGCGGUUAAAAUGAAGGUAAGCUUGUGCGUGUAUUUGUCUGAGGUGGUUGGUUCUAGAAAGGGAGAUUCACACAAGUAGGUUUAAAGAUAUUAUUUAUUAAAAAGUUGUAGCUCUUUUCUUGGUUUAUGGUCAGCUCAUGCAUCGAGUUUCCAUCCAAUCCAUGGGAUGACCUCUACCUGCACGUACUUGCUGCUAAAAUGUUGUGUCGUUAAACUUGUUAUGAAGCCACUGUUAUUCUUCAGCUGCGACCUACAGGAGUUUCUUCAUCUGCGCUUCAACAAAAAAGAACAGCAGCAGUCCAUGCAUCUGCCGUAUCUCUUUCCUCUCUACUGCUCUUUUCUCUUACUAAUUUGUUUCUCUUUGAACUGCAGCAUGGGGGAGGUUGGACUACAGACAACCCCCGCCGCCCCAUGCAUUACUUCCUCCGGUCCCUGUCCAGGAUUUUGCAUGAUCCAUAGCCAUCAAUGGCAACAGGCGAGCAGUUCAAGGCCUCCUACGUGAGCUUGUUGUCUCAACACAUCUAUCAUCGGAGUAUCUGCAUCCCCUUGCCGCACACACAUGCCCGGCGGUCGAGAUAUUGUUGUUUGUGAUUACUGGUCGUGACUCUUACGUUGUCAUUGGUUGUCAUUGGACAAAGAAUUUGUUUUGUAACUCUGUAUUGGCAGGACCCUCAGUAAAUAUAUGUUCUUAGUAUUCUGAUCUUUAGGCCAAAAUGGUGAAACUUUAAACAUGAGUCUGAAUUAAUAAAACUGAGAAGUUCUACUAUCAGUAAACGGGUGGACCUAGGUGCAACAAAGCUCUGCCAUUAGCCGUGGUGAUUAUCAGUUCACGUGUAUUGUGU